rnacentral:rRNA from 1 species
GGCCGGGGGGGGGGGGCUACACAUGCAGUCGAGCGAUGAUGCCCAGCUUGCUGGGUGGAUUAGUGGCGAACGGGUGAGUCAUUCGUGAGUAACCUGCCCCUGACUCUGGAAUAAGCGUUGGAAACGACGUCUAAUACUGGAUAUGAUCACCGGCCGCAUGGUCUGGUGGUGGAAAGAUUUUUUGGUUGGGGAUGGACUCGCGGCCUAUCAGCUUGUUGGUGAGGUGAUGGCUCACCAAGGCGACUACGGGUAGCCGGCCUGAGAGGGUGACCGGCCACACUGGGACUGACACACGGCCCACACUCCUACGGGAGGCAGCAGUGGGGAAUAUUGCUCAAUGGGCGAAAGCCUGAUGCAUCAACGCCGCGUGAGGGAUGACGGCCUUCUGGUUGUAAACCUCUUUUAGUAGGGAAGAAGCGAGAGUGACGGUACCUGCUGAAGAAGCACCGGCUAACUACGUGCCAGCAGCCGCGGUAAUACGUAGGGUGCAAGCGUUGUCCGGAAUUAUUGGGCGUAAAGAGCUCGUAGGCGGUUUGUCGCGUCUGCUGUGAAAUCCCGAGGCUCAACCUCGGGCUUGCAGUGGGUACGGGCAGACUAGAGUGCGGUAGGGGAGAUUGGAAUUCCUGGUGUAGCGGUGGAAUGCGCAGAUAUCAGGAGGAACACCGAUGGCGAAGGCAGAUCUCUGGGCCGUAACUGACGCUGAGGAGCGAAAGCAUGGGGAGCGAACAGGAUUAGAUACCCUGGUAGUCCAUGCCGUAAACGUUGGGCGCUAGAUGUAGGGACCUUUCCACGGUUUCUGUGUCGUAGCUAACGCAAUAAGCGCCCCGCCUGGGGAGUACGGCCGCAAGGCUAAAACUCAAAGGAAUUGACGGGGGCCCGCACAAGCGGCGGAGCAUGCGGAUUAAUUCGAUGCAACGCGAAGAACCUUACCAAGGCUUGACAUACACCGGAAACGGCCAGAGAUGGUCGCCCCCUUGUGGUCGGUGUACAGGUGGUGCACGGUUGUCGUCAGCUCGUGUCGUGAGAGGUUGGGGUAAGUCCCGCAACGAGCGCAACCCUCGUUUCAUGUUGCCAGCGGGUUAUGCCGGGGACUCAUAGGAGACAGCCGGGGUCAACUCGGAGGAAGGUGGGGAGGAGGUCAAAUCAUCACGCCCCCUAUGUGUCCGGGUUCACGCACGCUACAAAGGCCGGUACAAAGGGGGGCGAUACCGUAAGGUGGAGCGAAUCCCAAAAAACCGGUCUCAGUUUGGAGAGAGGUGUGCAACUCGACCUCACGAAGUCGGAGUAGCUAGUAAUCGCAGAUCAGCAACGCUGCGGUGAAUACGUUCCCGGGCCUUGUACACCCCGCCCGGCAAGUCACGAAAGUCGGUAACACCCGAAGCCAGGUGGCCUAACCCCUGGGAAGCAGCUGUCGCAAGGGGGGUUCG